rnacentral:rRNA from 1 species
GUGAGGAAUAUUGGUCAAUGGGCGAAAGCCUGAACCAGCCAUGUCGCGUGAAGGAUGAAGGUCCUAUGGAUUGUAAACUUCUUUUGCAGGAGGGUAAAGUGAGCUACGUGUAGUUCAUUGCAAGUACCCUGCGAAUAAGCAUCGGCUAACUCCGUGCCAGCAGCCGCGGUAAUACGGAGGAUGCGAGCGUUAUCCGGAUUUAUUGGGUUUAAAGGGUGCGUAGGCGGACUAAUUAGUCAGCGGUGAAAUUUUGCGGCUCAACCGUAAAACUGCCGUUGAAACUGUUAGUCUUGAGUGCGGUAGAGGUAGGCGGAAUGUGUGGUGUAGCGGUGAAAUGCUUAGAUAUCACACAGAACACCGAUUGCGUAGGCAGCUUACUGGAGCGCAACUGACGCUGAGGCACGAAAGCGUGGGGAUCGAACAGGAUUAGAUACCCUAGUAGUCC